CUCAAUAUUUUAUGGUCUGAAAUCUCACACAAUUAACCAAUCAGAUUUGUGGAAGAAAUGUAAUUUGAUUAGAAUUCUAGUUACAUUGU